rnacentral:lncRNA from 1 species
UGUGUUGCUUGUUUAUUACUGGCUUUGAUUUUGAGAUAAGACUAACUGAAAGUGUUCAAAAGAAACGUGCUUUAUUUCUCUCUUUUAUUUUUCCUUUACCUGAAUUAUGUUCUGUGUUUUGUUUUGAAAUGAGAAAGAAAUGUGGAUCUCUAAAGAGUUUUGAUGGUCCGGUGGAAACGGUUCUUGUGUUGUAUUUGUGCUUUUAAGUUUGUGAUUGUUAUGUUUUCUCUGGUUUCUGCACCAGAAAGAUUUUUUGUUCUAUGCUUUGUUGUGUUUGAGCUUUGAAGAUCUUUGAUGCUGUUUACUAUAAUUUUCUUUAUCAUAUGUUAAUUUUGAUAUUGCCAAUGGGUUGCUUUAGAUCCAGGGCCGGUUCAUUGGAGGGGACAAGCGGUGCGACCGUCCCGGGUCCAAGCCCGUGUCCCUUCGUAUAAUACUAAUUAAGGGGCCU